rnacentral:rRNA from 1 species
GACGAACGCUGGCGGCGUGCUUAACACAUGCAAGUCGAACGGAAAGGCCCUGCUUGCAUGGUCCUCGAGUGGCCAACGGGUGAGUAACACGUGGGUGCUCUGCCCUCCACUUCUUCAUAAGCCUUGGCAACUGGGUCUAAUCCCUGAUAGGAGCCAUUUUUUGUGUGUUGGUUCGAAAGUUGUUUCGGGGUUGGAUGAUUUCGGGGCCUAUCAUCUUGUUGGUUGGUUAAUGGCAUACCAAGCCGGCGAAGGGUAGCCGGCAUGCGAGCGUGGACGGCCACAUGGGGACUGAGAGACGGCGCAGACGGCAACGGGAGGCAGCAGUGGGGAGUAUGGUACAAUGGGAGCAAGUCUGAUGAAGAGACGUAGCGGGGGGGAUGACGGCCUGCGGGGUGUAAAAAGCUGUCGCUAGGGACGAAGCUGUUUGUGAGGGAACCUAGAUAAGAAGUACCGGCAAACUACGU